UAGUAAUUGCUGUAAUCUGUUCUCCAUAGGCUAGCAAGUUAUCUGAGACCAUCUGAAUCAUAGCUUUCUGUCUGAUCAGCUAAAGUGAAGGUCUGAGCUGAGGCUAACAAGUCAUCUGAGAUCAUCUGAAUCAUGGUUUUCUGUCUGAUCAGCUGAAGUGAAGGUCUGAGCUGAGCCAUGGCUUAAGAAAAUUUCAGUGGCUUGCGGGACCAAAGCAACUCCUGUCGCCGAGGAAACUCGGUUAGCAACACCUGAAUGAAAUAACAAGGAGGCAUAGCAAGGCAUUUCUCGGUAGGUAAGCUUAAAUUCUCGAGGGCUGUGUAGUUAACUUUCGAAGAAAGGAGGAAAACGACAUAGUGACUGAGAAAUGGAUAAUAACUUAAGCUUACCUUGAAAAUUAGAAACCAACUCGCGACGGAAAGCUGUCCAAAUUAUUCGAAACAGAAAA
rnacentral:lncRNA from 1 species